rnacentral:lncRNA from 1 species
AGCAGUAUAAUGGUUCUCAAUAUACUCCAAUUUCUGACCCGGCUAUGAUACCCCAAUCUCAGGCAGGAUGGGGAACAACUCUACCAACAGUUGCUCAAUCUAUGCCAUUGCAGAUGCACAAUAACAUUUACAUGCCAGCUGGAAACAUGCCACCUGGAAAUGGGCCAAUGCAAAUGCAACCUGGAAAUGGGCCAAUGCAAAUGCCACCUGGAAACAUGCCACCUGGGAGCAUUCCACUACAAAGGCCACUACAAAUGCCACCUGGAAAUGUGCCAAUGCAAAUGCCACCUGGGAGCAUGCCACUACAAAGGCCAAUGCAAAUGCCACCUGGAAACAUGCCACCAGGAAUGCAUUUCCCAAAUCAUGACAUGCUACAACCGACAUCCACAUUGCCCGCAUAUGGAUCUGAUCGUACUCAAUAGCGUGCUUCUGUGUCUCAAUAGAUCUACAUUUACCAAGAGUCAGCUAGCCUCUGCAGAAGUGAUUCGAAUUAGAGUUCCCAUCUGGUGAAACUGGCUGUCAUUUGAUUAUGUUUUGAACCUCAAAUAGGAUACUUCUCAUUUUUUCGUUUUUUAUAUGCGUAUUUUGAAUGGGAACCGGC